UACGGAGGUCCCAAGCGUUGUUCGGAAUUACUGGGCGUAAAGGGAGCGCAGGCGGACAGGUCAGUCUAAAGUGGAAUCCCGGGGCUCAACCUCGGAACUGCCUUUGAUACUGCAAAUCUCGAGUCCGGAAGAGGUGAGUGGAAUUCCUAGUGUAGAGGUGAAAUUCGUAGAUAUUAGGAAGAACACCAGUGGCGAAGGCGGCUCACUGGUCCGGUACUGACGCUGAGGUGCGAAAGCGUGGGGAGCAAACAGG
rnacentral:rRNA from 1 species